rnacentral:rRNA from 1 species
GACGAACGCUGGCGGCGUGCUUAACACAUGCAAGUCGAACGGAAAGGCCCUGCUUUUGUGGGGUGCUUGAGUGGCGAACGGGUGAGUAACACGUGUGUAAACUGUCCUUGACUUUGGGAUAAAUUCAGGAAACUGGGGCUAAUACAGGAUAGGAGCUCCUGCUGCAUGGUGGGGGUUGGAAAGUUUCGGCGGUUGGGGAUGGACUCGCGGCUUAUCAGCUUGUUGGUGGGGUAGUGGCUUACCAAGGCUUUGACGGGUAGCCGGCCUGAGAGGGUGACCGGCCACAUUGGGACUGAGAUACGGCCCAGACUCCUACGGGAGGCAGCAGUGGGGAAUAUUGCACAAUGGGCGGAAGCCAGAGGCAGCAACGCCGCGUGCGGGAUGACGUCCUUCGGGUUGUAAACCGCUUUCGCCUGUGACGAAGCGUGAGUGACGGUAAUGGGUAAAGAAGCACCGGCUAACUACGUG